rnacentral:rRNA from 1 species
GACGGGUGAGUAACGCGUGGGAACGUACCUUUUGGUUCGGAACAACACAGGGAAACUUGUGCUAAUACCGGAUAAGCCCUUACGGGGAAAGAUUUAUCGCCGAAAGAUCGGCCCGCGUCUGAUUAGCUAGUUGGUGAGGUAAUGGCUCACCAAGGCGACGAUCAGUAGCUGGUCUGAGAGGAUGAUCAGCCACAUUGGGACUGAGACACGGCCCAAACUCCUACGGGAGGCAGCAGUGGGGAAUAUUGGACAAUGGGGGCAACCCUGAUCCAGCCAUGCCGCGUGAGUGAUGAAGGCCCUAGGGUUGUAAAGCUCUUUUGUGCGGGAAGAUAAUGACGGUACCGCAAGAAUAAGCCCCGGCUAACUUCGUGCCAGCAGCCGCGGUAAUACGAAGGGGGCUAGCGUUGCUCGGAAUCACUGGGCGUAAAGGGUGCGUAGGCGGGUCUUUAAGUCAGGGGUGAAAUCCUGGAGCUCAACUCCAGAACUGCCUUUGAUACUGAGGAUCUUGAGUUCGGGAGAGGUGAGUGGAACUGCGAGUGUAGAGGUGAAAUUCGUAGAUAUUCGCAAGAACACCAGUGGCGAAGGCGGCUCACUGGCCCGAUACUGACGCUGAGGCACGAAAGCGUGGGGAGCAAACAGGAUUAGAUACCCUGGUAGUCCACGCCGUAAACGAUGAAUGCCAGCCGUUAGUGGGUUUACUCACUAGUGGCGCAGCUAACGCUUUAAGCAUUCCGCCUGGGGAGUACGGUCGCAAGAUUAAAACUCAAAGGAUUUGACGGGGGCCCGCACAAGCGGUGGAGCAUGUGGUUUAAUUCGACGCAACGCGCAGAACCUUACCAGCCCUUGACAUGUCCAGGACCGGUCGCAGAGAUGUGACCCUCUCUUCG